rnacentral:rRNA from 1 species
ACUCCUACGGGAGGCAGCAGUUAGGAAUCUUCCACAAUGGGCGCAAGCCUGAUGGAGCGACACUGCAUGAAGGAUGAAGGCUCUAGGGUCGUAAACUUCUGAACUAGGGACGAUAGUGACGGUACCUAGGUAAUAGCACUGGCUAACUCUGUGCCAGCAGCCGCGGUAAUACAGAGGGUGCGAGCGUUAUCCGGAAUCACUGGGCGUAAAGGGCACGUAGGCGGUUUAUUAAGUCCGAUGUUAAAGCGUGAGGCUCAACCUCAUCAUGGCGUUGGAUACUGAUAAACUUGACUUCUGGAGAGGAAAGUAGAAUUACUGGUGUAGCGGUGAAAUGCGUAGAUACCAGUAGGAAUACCCAUUGCGAAGGCAGCUUUCUGGACAGAUAGUGACGCUGAGGUGCGAAAGUGUGGGGAGCAAACCGGAUUAGAUACCCUGGUAGGAUAGCG